rnacentral:rRNA from 1 species
AGUCGAACGGAUCCUUCGGGAUUAGUGGCAGACGGGUGAGUAACGCGUGGGAAGCUACCUUGUGGUAGGGGACAACAGUUGGAAACGACUGCUAAUACCCUAUGAGCCCUAUGGGGGAAAGAUUUAUCGCCAUGAGAUGUGCCCGCGUUAGAUUAGCUAGUUGGUAAGGUAAUGGCUUACCAAGGCGACGAUCUAUAGCUGGUCUGAGAGGAUGAUCAGCCACACUGGGACUGAGACACGGCCCAGACUCCUACGGGAGGCAGCAGUGGGGAAUAUUGGACAAUGGGGGCAACCCUGAUCCAGCCAUGCCGCGUGUGUGAUGACGGCCUUAGGGUUGUAAAGCACUUUCAGCAGUGAAGAUAAUGACAUUAACUGCAGAAGAAGCCCCGGCUAACUUCGUGCCAGCAGCCGCGGUAAUACGAAGGGGGCUAGCGUUGUUCGGAAUCACUGGGCGUAAAGAGUACGUAGGCGGACUGAUAAGUUAGGGGUGAAAUCCCAAGGCUCAACCUUGGAACUGCCUUUGAUACUGUCAGUCUUGAGAUCGAGAGAGGUGAGUGGAAACUCCGAGUGUAGAGGUGAAAUUCGUAGAUAUUCGGAAGAACACCAGUGGCGAAGGCGGCUCACUGGCUCGAUACUGACGCUGAGGUACGAAAGCGUGGGGAGCAAACAGGAUUAGAUACCCUG